CCUACGGGUGGCAGCAGUGGGGAAUAUUGGGCAAUGGACGCAAGUCUGACCCAGCAACGCCGCGUGAAGGAAGAAGGCUUUCGGGUUGUAAACUUCUGUUCUUAGUGAAGAAUAAUGACGGUAGCUAAGGAGCAAGCCACGGCUAACUACGUGCCAGCAGCCGCGGUAAUACGUAGGUGGCAAGCGUUGUCCGGAAUUACUGGGUGUAAAGGGAGCGCAGGCGGGAAGCCAAGUCAGCUGUGAAAACUACGGGCUUAACUUGUAGACUGCAGUUGAAACUGGUUUUCUUGGGUGAAGUAGAGGUUGGCGGAAUUCCGAGUGUAGCGGUGAAAUGCGUAGAUAUUCGGAGGAACACCGGUGGCGAAGGCGGCCAACUGGGCUUUAACUGACGCUGAGGCUCGAAAGUGUGGGGAGCAAACAGGAUUAGAUACCCGAGUAGUC
rnacentral:rRNA from 1 species